CAAAACUUCACUACCCUCUCUUCAUCGAAUUCGCAGAACUCGUUGACGAUGAUCCCUCUCUAUCGCGACUCGUUUUCUCCAAUCCUGAACAGUAUCUUCGUCAAUUCGACGAAUCAGCCAUUUUAGCUCACAAAAUUGCGUUGGAGCAUAUAAAGAAAUUUGAGAACAAGAUUGGGAUUGAGAAGAGAUUUAUACAUGUUCGUAUUGACACUAGUGGAUCUCCUCUAGAACGAAG